AACAACAACAUCUUUUAGUACUAAGAAAGACUUCUGAAUGUCCUGUUAAUGUUAAUGUUUGUAUUUAAUAAUUUAUUAAAUUACAAGACCAAAAAAAAAAAAGGAUAAGUCUGAAGAGGACCAGCUGCUACUAGUUGUGAUUUUACCCAUGGUAACAAAAAGUUAUCUAAUGGGAUGCUUUUGUACAUACAGUACUCUCUCGAAUAAACUUUUUUCUCUGUAGGAUCCAGCUCAGAAACCUGUUCCAAGAAACCUGUGGAAUUUCCCCUUCCUACUUUAAUGAAGAUAGAAUCACUCAUGGAGUGGUUUGUCUUAUUUACCUCUGUAUGUGUAGCAUCUUGUAAUAUGUACAGAAUAGAGUAGACAUUCAAUAAAUAUUUUUUGAGAGAAUAAGUGUAAAAAUUAAUUUGUAAUUGAUCAUGAGUAAUAUAAAAUGUAUAAAAAUUUAUAUUACUGAAGCUUGUGUCUUAUAGAUGGAAAAUAUCACAAGCAAAUUAAAAUAGAAGAGAAUGCGACAGGAUUCAGUUAUGAGACACUUUUUAAAGAAUACCUUAAUGAGACAGUUACAGAAGUUUGGAUAGAAGAUCCUUAUAUUAGACAGAUUCAUCAGGUAAGUGAAAUACACUAAACU
rnacentral:lncRNA from 1 species